rnacentral:lncRNA from 10 species
AUUAACCAGCUGACCUUAAGAUAGGGAAACUACUCAUCUAAUCACACGGGCCCUUUAAAAGCGGAGUGUUUUCUUUGGCUGGAGGCAGAAGAGGAAAUCUUAGAGAUUCCAAGCCUGAGAAGGACUCAACCCACAAUUACUGGCUUUGAGGAUGGAGCAAGGGGGCAAUGAGCCAAGGAAUACAGCCGGAAAACCAUUGGUACUUGCCCCAGGUAGGAGGAGGAGCAGAGAACAGAAGGUUUCUGUGGAGCUGCGUUAAUCACCAAGGAGAGGCAGAUGGCUCCAAGCCCACAGAGUGUGACCCAGAUGAAUUUCUUACAAGAAAUAUCUCAGAGGAAUAUUACCAGAGCUGGAGAUCUUCCACAUUCAGAUCCUACAUGUAUCUGUGGUGCUGGGCAGAGAUACCUUGACUAUGAAUAAUAGUUUCAAUAAGGAAGACAGAAUGAGUUCUGACACGAUGGUUGGGAGCUGUGACAGGCAGACGAAAAAUGGAGCCAAAUGGCAUGGAGGUGUGUCAUCACUGCUGGAUUUUACCUUGAUCUACAUUCAGUUAUCUACUUCUUUUCAAAAUGCUGGGCAUUCAUUCAAGAAACAGCAUAUAUGUUCUGACUUUGAAGUAAUGGAUGAACUGUCAUGUGCAGUAUAUGGAAAUAAGUUUUAUUACCUUCUUCCCACAUUAACUCAUCCAUCCAUUCAAUAGCCAUUUAUUGAGAAGCUCACUCUGUGUUAGGCACAGUGGUGUCAUGAUGUUGGAACAGUAACAAUAACUCAACCAACCAGGGCUUGUCUGAAUACAAUCCUACAGCAGCAGGAGCUGUGGAGAUAUAGAAGGCAAGGAAGACCAGGUUGUGAGGGAAGACGAAUUUACUCCCAGGAAUGUUGGGAUUGAGAGUAAUAUUCUCCAAUAAUGGUGGAAGACAGAACAAUAAAAGCCCACCAGCUCCUUCUGCAUGGUGGGAUAAGAGAAAAGCCAAGGGCAGAAGUGAGAAAAAUAACCAUCACCAAACUGAAAAGAAAACCUUUAUAAAAAAACUGGAUUGAUAAAUGACCUUUAGUAGUGGAAAGAUACCAUUCCAAUGAAGCAUGAAUUGAAAGGAUUUCUUCUGAAAGCUAAUUUACAUUUUUCUUUUUUUUUUUUUCAUUUUCAGUGUGUUUUAGCAGGUGUAUUGUUCUACAUGGUUAGUUUCUUUACCUCUUUGAGAAAAAUGGGUCAGCUUGACACAUCUGGAUGAAAGAAUCCGUUAGGUGAUUAUGAUUGAAGACAGAUUAAGCCUUGUUAUGAGGGGAAUAUUUGGGGGCUUACCCUGAGGUGAUAUUUGAUGAUUUAGCUGUGGGAGAAUUUCCCUCCCAAGAUCAGCGUGACUGACACUGAAAUUGCUACAGGGGAACCGGACCUUUCCAAGAGGUGACAAGGACAUUUACCUGGUACAACACAAUGGUUCUGGACUGGAAGUCUAGUCCCAUUGAUGAAGUUCCCAAAAGAUGUCCAGGUCCUAAUCCCUGGAAUCUGUGAAUAUGUCAUCUUACACAUCAAAAGAACUUUGAAAAUGUGAUUGAGGUUAAGGACCUUGGAAUGAGGAGAUUACCUUGGAUUAUCUGGUUGGGUCCAAGCUAAUCACAUGAGUCCUUAAAGGAGAAGAACCUUUUUUAGCUGGGUCAGAGAGAGAUGUGAUGAUGAAAACAGGCUCAGGGAGAUGCACUGUAAGAAGGGCUUGACCAGUUGUUUUUGACUUUGAAGAUGGAGGGAAGGGCCAGGAGCCAAGGAAGGUGGGUGGCUUUUGGAAGGUGGAAAAAGCAAGGGAACAUUCUCUCCAGAGCCUCCAGAAAGGAGCUCAGCCCUGUUGACAUCUUUGUUUUUAUUUUUUAUUUUUAGUAGCAUUGAGGUCUCACUAUGUUGCACAGGCUGGUCUUGAACUCUUGAGCUCAAGCACUCCUCCCGCCUUGGCUUCCCAAAGUGCUGGGAUUAUAGGCAUGUGCCACCACAUCUGGCUUCCUACUGACAUCUUAACUUUAGUGCAGUGAGACUCAUAUUUGAAUUUCUGACCUUAUAUUAUAGAACCAUAAGACAUUAUAGAAUUAUAUAGAAUUAUAGAACCAUAAGACAAUAACUUUGUGUUGUUUUAAGAUACUAAAUUUUUGGUAAUUUGUUAUGGCAGCACAAUAAAACCAAUAUAGCAUUAUAUUAUGCCAAUAUCAUCUCUUUGUUGACUAUUGCUAUUAUAGUUUGUUUUAUGGGUCUUGUGUAAACAAUCAAGCUAUAAUAUUGGGUUAACUCCCUAAGGAAAACUUGGAAUAUAGAACAUUAUUUUAAAGACUGAAUUAGGUAAAUACACCUGCCAGUGAAUACAUUAACAAAUUAAUUAAUAUAUUCACUCUUUUCACUCACAAAUACUUUUUGAGCCCCUAUUACUAGCCAAACAUUUUGUUAGAUUCUGAGAAGGGUCUGCUAGACAACAUUGUGACUAUAGUUAAUAACAAUAUAUUGUACUCUUGAAAAUUACUAAGAGAGUAGAUUUUAAGUGUUCUCACCACAAAAAAUAAGUAUGUGAGGUAAUGCAGAUGUUAGUUAGCUUGAUUUAGCCAUUCCCCAGUGUAUACAUAUUUCAAACCUUCAUAUUAUACAUGGAUAAAUAUAUACAAUUUUUAUUUGUCAAUUAAAAGCCCCUCGAUGAAUACAGUUUCCAUUCUGUCCUUGAGGUGGAGCUUGUAGACUUGGUGGGGUCCGGGGAUCAACUUUUAAACAGGCAGUUCCAAAGUGUGGAGUGGAUAGGCUUAUUCUCUUUGUUGCUUUUAUGAUAGGUAUUUAGAAUGCACUUUCCUCUGUUAAGUUAAGCCAGCCACCAUUCCCUCAUUCAGUUUCCAUCCUCCAUGAAUUUGCUCACAUCUGCGGUCUACUGUCACUCAUUCUUUCCUUCUCUUCCUGAGGGCUUGUGUGACUUAUGUUCUUGGCUUUCUCUUAGGAACAUGGUGCAGCUUGGCCCUGCAUUAUCCAUCUGGAAAAACAGAUCAUAAAACAGUCCUUCUCUGUACUAAGUGCUAAAGUAGGAGGAAGGGCAUAAGUCAGCUCCCUGAGCUAUAUAUCCUUGUUUUCAGGAGCUGAGCUAGACACAAGCAGAACUUGCAAAUAAUUUACAUUUCUUUCUGCUGAGGUGGUUCAGAAUAAGUUGCAACAAACAUGAACAGGAAUGGUGCAGUAAAU